CCUCCGACACCUGGAAUGCCGCCCGAAUAUUCGCUUGUCGACCUAGGUCCAGACAACAAGAACAGGUAUCGACUGUUUUACUCGGGAGAGACUCUGAUCCGGGGACGAAAGCCGAGUGAUGCCCUCGAUCAUCUUCUGUG
rnacentral:misc_RNA from 1 species